rnacentral:misc_RNA from 1 species
AACUAACGCAUUUUUUGUUACAGUUUCUGUACUUUAUUGGUAUGAGAAACUUCCAGAACAUUAUGUUCUGUGACAAAUUUUAGAGACCAAGCCUUCGGCC